rnacentral:lncRNA from 1 species
UCCAUGUAAAAUGGGGACAAUUUAUGCACUUCUCACUCAGGUUGUUACUACAAGAACAAUGUUCCGAGGUCAUCAAAGUUAAGUGCUUAAAUAGUGCACGCAUCUCAGCUCAACAAACAUUUACUGAGCACCCAGCAUUAUGGCUUACACUUCAAAAAGUUCUGAUUUUUAGAUUUUAUUUAUUUAUUUGACAGAGAGAUAGAGAACACCAGGCAGAGGGAGAGAGAGAGAAGCAGGCUCUCUGCUGAACAGGAAGCCCGAUGUGGGGCUCGAUCCCAGGACCCUGGAACCAUGGCCUGAGCCGAAGGCAGCUGCUUAACCAACUGAGCCACGCAGGUGCCCCCACCACCAUGAUGAUUUUCU